rnacentral:lncRNA from 1 species
CUGGUCCACUCCGCAGAGGCCCGAGCGGGCUCGCGAGGGAACGGGUUCUCCGAGUCUGGCCGGCCACAACAACUGGAUUCUCUUUUCUGAUUUUUGCUGCAGCUUCUGCUUUGUAAUCAUACGGACAGUUGUGCUUGUCAGAGUUAACGGUGAAGUCCACAAAACAAAUUUCCACAUCGGCAGUCAAACCUGUCAGGAUCGCUGUACAAGGACUGCAUAGACAAGGCACGAGGCCAGUUUUCCCAGGGGGCUUUUUCUGACUCUCUCAUCCUGCAGCUAAGAAUGCCUAACCUCCUGGGAAUGCAGCCCAGCAGAUCUCAGCCUCAUUUUACCCAGCCCCAGUUCAAUAUGGAGUUGCUCUGGUUCGAACACCUCUGACAGUAUGGAGGGUUUACAAUUCUUAAGAAGAGAGAAGUUGCUGAGCUUUAGAGAAUAAGCUGAAACAUGCAUGAAGCACUAAUAACUCUUGCCCUGUACUUUGUUACUUUAGUGAUAAAUUUUACAGCUGGUUCUUUGAAUAAUUUAUAUUAAUUAAGUUUCUCUGUCUGAUGUGAAGUAGCCAGUGAAUAAGCAAAGCCUAAUUCUCCAAUAAAGAUAAUAAAGCCCUUCUUGAGUUAAAUG